UACGUAGGGACCUAGCGUUGUCCGGAAUCAUUGGGCGUAAAGCGCGCGUAGGCGGCCCGGUAAGUCCGUUGUAAAAGUCGAAGGCUCAACCUUCGAAAGCCGAUGGAUACUGCCGGGCUAGAGUCCGGAAGAGGCGAGUAGAAUUCCUGGUGUAGCGGUGGAAUGCGCAGAUAUCAGGAGGAAUACCCAUAGCGAAGGCAGCUCGCUGGGACGGUACUGACGCUGAGGCGCGAAAGCGUGGGGAGCGAACAGG
rnacentral:rRNA from 1 species